GGAUUGUGGCUCAGUGGUAGAGUACUUGCCUAGCAUGCAUGAUGAACUGGGUUUGAUCCCUAGCACCA
rfam:Ictidomys tridecemlineatus contig002353, whole genome shotgun sequence.